ACUCUAGAACCUAGGGAGCAGCAGCAGUUCACGACCCAUCUGACUCCCAUUUUCUUCCUGAUAUAAACGACAAUCAACAGAACCAUAAAAAGGGGCUUCAGUCGUAUAACUUAAAAACAGACCCCUCCAAAAAAAUUUGACCUUCUUCUUCAUCCCCAUAAUACAAGAUCUGAUGGAUGGCUAACUUAGGGACCUAAGAGCUGAAGAAAACCAGCGGUUGAAUAGCCAAAAUGAGAAUCCCCCAUCAGGUAUCAUCUUCCUCUUCAGCCAUUAGAGACAUCAAACAAAAAGUCACCGUCGCUGGACCUCCAUUCACUGUGAAGCUGCCAUCCCCAGUGAAGCUUCACCUCACAAACGACCACCCUACAAACACCAGGUCGUCGCCUCUGUUUCUCCAUCCCAGAAAACCCGCCUGAACUCUUUCUGCUUCUUCAAAGCUUCACAAGAUUUUGAUCCCUCUUUUUUAAGCUCUGUAAGUUGUUGUCAUCAAAGUUUCCGGCGAGUUCCGAGUUUUCUGAUUGAGUAUCGACGAUCGUUUCUACUGGUUUUUGGUCGAAGCCCGUUCGAGGUUUGUCGUGUCGAAGUCUCCAUUGCUGGCUCUGUCGCCAGGCUGUUGUGGAUCUACUUACCGGAGUUUGAGCAUGACAGAUACCCCAGGAUCAUUGCAUUCAGGAGCUGCUCGAGGAGCCAUUUUAUGUUUUUGAGUCAAUUGGUCAUGUUUUACUUUCUAGUCCUAUAUAGUAGUAUUCAGUCUUUUAGGUGAUGUUAGAGUUUGUAAUAGUCAGGUUAAGUUUGCCUAGUCUUUUGUUAUUGUAUUUCUUAUUUUGUGUUAUUAAUCAAAAAUCCCAAAAAAGAGAUUUUGCGUUU